CUCCUUAGCCAAGCACAUACUACCAUCUGUGGGAUUAUGACUGAACGCCUCUAAGUCAGAAUCCCGCCUAGAUGAAGCGAUACCGAAGCGCCG